GGGCGGGCCCGGCUAGGCCGGCCAUUGGCUGAGGGACCAGGUCAUUUGCAUACGGGGCUGGGCGUGGAGCCGCGGGGCCCGGGGCCGGUCGGGUCGGGCCGGGGGGCGAGAGGGUGCCAGCGGCCGCAGCUGAAGUUGGGCCGAGAGCCGGCGACGGCCCCGCGCCGGGGUCGCAGGGUACCAGUGUGCGGAGUUCCUGUUGCCAAGCUGAAGGUGGCCCUGGGCAGGCACAGGUGUGGUCAUAUCUUCAGCCAACAGGACCAUCCUCCGGAGGGCCACCUCUGGGGACUUCCUACGGGAAGAGAGUGACAGAUUUGGUGCUUCUGUGUGUUUCUGCCGCUUCAGUGGGGCCGCUGCGGGAGACAGCGGGUGGAUCCUCCAGCAGCCUGUCUGCUGAGCCUGCCUUCUCAAGUCUACUGUUAAAAUCAGGACCGGGUCGUGUCCGAGCCUACAGGCCCUGUCUCCGCUCCCCAGGCCUGCAGGAGUUGAGGGCUGCACCUGCUCGCUGGAGAGGGAGAGGCAGAUUUAGUGGACGCCUGGCAUGGACUCGGACUGGCCUUUGGAAGCUCCCUGCCCUGACGGGGUUGCCUGUCACCACUGCGAAGUGAGGCUUGGCAGGACCUGCACCUGAGAAAGGCUGUGUGUGGUCUUGGGGUCCACACCUGCAGAGCUAACUUACUGCCAGACGGCGACUUACUGUGGGCCACCCUCAGUGAACCGGGGUGUCCUCAGCUGGCCCUACAGAGCACUUCUGUGCUGGGGAUGAGUAGGAACUCUGGGCGAGGAGGGUCCCAGCGCCGCCCCUCGAUACAGCCUGGCUCUGCCCUCUGCCCGUACUUACACCAGGUGGGAUCCCUGCCCUGCAUUGCCUGGGGAUUGGCUGGGCUUGGGCCCGCCCUGCUGUGGAACUGGAUGUUUUCAGGGAGCCCAGCCUUUCCUCAUGUCAACACAGUUCACAAUAUAGUUUUCAAAGUACAGUUUAAAACUCAAAAGUAAACUUUUCAGCAACUCAAAGGUUUGCUGAGUGAUCUGAAGCACUCUGGCCACUUUUUGGGGCCAUGGGAUUUGGUUCACCUGAAACAGCCAGUGAGAGGCCGGGUGUGGUGGCUCACACCCGUAAUCCCAACACUUCAGGAGGCAGACGCGGGUGAUCGCUCACUUGAGAUCAGGAGUUCAAGACCAGCCUGGGCAACAUGGUGAAACCUCGUCUCUACUAAAAAUACAAAAAUUAGCUAGGCAUGGUGGUGGGCACCUGUAAUCCCAGCUACUUGGAAGGCUGAGGCAAGAGAAUCGCUUGAACCUGGGAGGUGGAGGUUGCAGCGAGACGAGAUUACGCCGCUGCACUCCAGCCUGGGUGACGAGAGACUCUGCCUCAAAAAAAUAAAAAAAUGAAACAGCCAGUGAGGAGGAAGGCUCCCCGCCUUCCCCCCGCCGGAACAUAGCCAUAGCUGCUGCUGGGACACCCUCUUGGUGGGGAAGAAGGCUGGUUAGCUUCAUCAGAGCCAGCAGCAGCAGACCAGGGACGGGCACCUAGGCAGUGGCCUCAGAGUGAACAGGAGUUCCUCAGAAACACACACAGGGACGGCGUGGCGCAUGCUCUGCCAGCUCCAUGCCUCCUUCCCAUUGUGGGGCUGGGGUACGUAGGGCAGAGCUCAUGACCUCCGGGAGGACAUGGGGGUGGGCUCUGGAUGGCACCUGGCAUUGCCCCCUGCUGGCCUAUGUGACGGUGUGGAGGGCUGGUCACAGAGGUACGACCAUCCCUCCAGAAUGUGGGUCGGGGCUGUGGAUGGAGGAGUAGGCCCCUCAUAUCCCAGGCCUGCUGCCCAGGCACAACCCACUUGGCCUAUGCAUUCCAGGCUCCAUCCCAUGUGACUCUGGGCUUAGCCCCUUCUGGGGCCACAGGUCAGGCAGGUCCAGGCCCCAAGGACCUCCCAGUGACAGGCGACUGUGAGCUGGGCAGACAGGAGUGAAGUCAGGUGGGGGUUCUGGCUUGCUGACACCAGCGUUUGGAGCCUCCUGCUGCUGCCUGGCUUCCCUGCAUUCCCUGUUCCCUGCCUCAGGCAAGAAAUAACCAAGCCGAGUUGCCUCUGCACAGCAGUGAGCUCCUGGUGGCCCUGGCUUCUGGGGAGCCCUGUGGAUGGCUUCCUUGCCCAAGUCCAGGCCUUCUUGUUCCCUUUGUGUGCUCCAGAGAAAGGGGGCAGCACCAGAUCCAGAUCCAGGGCCAACCAACAGAAAGCUGAGUCCAUCCCAAACUCGCCCAUUCUCAGAGCACAAAGACCCCAUGAUCUAGGGCAAACUUGUCCAACUGUUGGCCCAUGGAACAGCUUUGAAUGCAGCCCAACACAAAUCUAUAAAUUUUCUUAAACAUUGUGAGUUGUUUUUUGUUGUUAUUUUGAGACAGAGUCUCGAUCUGUCGCCCAGGCUGGAGUUAGUGGCCCAAUCUCGGCUCACUGCAAGCUCCGCCUCCUGGGUUCACGCUCGUCUCCUGCCUCAGCCUCCCGAGUAGCUGGGACUACAGGCGCCCGCCAACACGCCUGGCUAAUUUUGGUAUUUUUAGUAGAGACGGGGUUUCACCACGUUAGCCAGGAUGGUCUUGAUCUCCUGACCUUGUGAUCUGCCCGCCUCGGCCUCCCAAAGUGCUGGGAUUACAGGUGUGAGCCACCGUGCCUGGCCAACAUUGUGAGUUUUUUUUACGAUUUUUUUUUUAAAGCUUAUCAGCUAUCAUUACUGUAUUCCAUGUAUGGCCCAUGUAUGGCCUCAGUGUAUUCCAAUGUGGCCCAGGGAAGCCAAAAGAUUGGACACCCCUGACCUAGGGCAUCCCCAUCCUCUGCCUUCCCAUGCAUGGCUGUACCCAGGUAUAGGGGUCCUCCACAUUCUGCUCAACACAAAAGAUUUCUCCAGCCCCAACCAUGGAUCCUGGAGCUGGGAGUGUAUGGCUUACCCUUAGAACCAGGAGAGGUGACAGCUAGCCCAAGGGCCCAGGCAGGGGCUGGGCUGUGGACACAAUUUUUUUUUAUUUUGGAGACAGAGUCUUGCUCUGUCACUAAGGCUGGAGUGCAGUGGAGUGAUCUUAGCUCACUGCAACCUCUGCCUCCCAGGUUCAACUAAUUCUCCUGCCUCAGCCUCCCAAGUAACUGGGAUUACAGGUGCAUGCCACCACACCCGGUUUUGUUUUUUUUUUUUUUUGACAGAGUCUUGCUUUGUUGCCCAGGCUGGAGCACAGUGGCGCGAUCUCGGCUCACUGCAAACUCCGCCCCCCGGGUUCACGCCAUUCUCCUGCCUCAGCCUCCCGAGUAGCUGGAACUACAAGCACCCUCCACCACGCCCGGCCAAUUUUUUGUAUUUUUAGUAGAGACGGGGUUUCAUCAUGUUGGCCAGGCUGGUCUCAAACUCCUGACCUCAGGUGAUCCGCCUGCCUCAGCUUCCCAAAGUGCUGGGAUUACAGGCGUGAGCCACCAUGCCUGGCCCCUGCCCUGAUUUCAAAGCUGCAAGCUCAGAGCAGACAUUUCACACCCACCUGGAGAAGAGGAGGCAGCCCCUGCCCACUGGUACCCAUACCCUCCCUGGGGUGGUGAAGCAGCCUGGGACUGGCUGACCUGAGUGUGGGAUCCACCCCCACAAGUUCUCAGUAAACCUGACGGGCGGGUCUAGCUUGUCCUGACGUCCUCAGUUCCCGCUGCUGGCGGGGCACAGGCAACAUGACAGAGAGUCAGGUGGGAGGGGGUCCAGACAAAUGCCUGGGACAGUCAGGCCAGGCUGAACCAGCAGGCCCACCAGGCUGGGGCCCUCACAGGAGAGCCCCUGGGGUUAGGUGAGGCAGAGCAGAUGGAAUGUGGAGCUCAGGAAGCCCCAGCCCUGGGCCCUACUGAGCACCCUGAGGGAUCCUAUUCUCAGAUACUCCAGCUGUGGUGAGCCCCAGGUGUGUCAGGGUACUGCUCAGUGGCACCCCAUGGAGGCUCAAGUUCAAGACCUCAGACCCUGCCCAGCGCAGCCUCCACACACACUCAAGCUGCUUCGGGCAGUUUAUUGAGGUUUUCACGUUGGGGUAGGGGAAGUGGCACACACAUGCUCUUGCUGUGUACACACAGUGAAGGACCUCUCCCGCAGGCAAGCACAUGCCCACAGCUUGAGCACACUGUCCAUGCAUCUCCUGUCCCCAACAGAGGAGCCCUCUGUGACCGCCAACUCUCC
rnacentral:lncRNA from 10 species